rnacentral:rRNA from 1 species
CCUACGGGAGGCUGCAGUGAGGAAUAUUGGUCAAUGGGCGAGAGCCUGAACCAGCCAAGUCGCGUGAGGGAGUACUGCCCUAUGGGUUGUAAACCUCUUUUGUCGGGGAGCAAAAGCCGGACGUGUCCGGCUGUGAGAGUACCCGAAGAAAAAGCAUCGGCUAACUCCGUGCCAGCAGCCGCGGUAAUACGGAGGAUGCGAGCGUUAUCCGGAUUUAUUGGGUUUAAAGGGUGCGCAGGCGGUGUUUUAAGUCAGCGGUAAAAUCGUGGGGCUCAACCCCAUCCAGCCGUUGAAACUGGGGAUCUAGAGUGUGCGAGAGGUAUGAGGAAUGCGUGGUGUAGCGGUGAAAUGCAUAGAUAUCACGCAGAACCCCGAUUGCGAAGGCAGCAUACCGGUGCACAACUGACGCUCAGGCACGAAAGCGUGGGUAUCGAACAGGAGUAGAUACCCCUGUAGUC